rnacentral:rRNA from 1 species
UACGGAGGGGGGCUAGCGUUGUUCGGAAUUACUGGGCGUAAAGCGCACGUAGGCGGCUUUGUAAGUUAGAGGUGAAAGCCCGGGGCUCAACUCCGGAAUUGCCUUUAAGACUGCAUCGCUAGAAUUGUGGAGAGGUAAGUGGAAUUCCGAGUGUAGAGGUGAAAUUCGUAGAUAUUCGGAAGAACACCAGUGGCGAAGGCGACUUACUGGAC